rnacentral:rRNA from 1 species
AUUGAACGCUGGCGGCAGGCCUAACACAUGCAAGUCGAACGGUAACAGGAAGAAGCUUGCUUCUUUGCUGACGAGUGGCGGACGGGUGAGUAAUGUCUGGGAAACUGCCUGAUGGAGGGGGAUAACUACUGGAAACGGUAGAUAAUACCGCAUAACGUCGCAAGACCAAAAAGGGGGACCUUCGGGCCUCUUGCCAUCGGAUGUGCCCAGAUGGGAUUAGCUAGUAGGUGGGGUAACGGCUCACCUAGGCGACGAUCCCUAGCUGGUCUGAGAGGAUGACCAGCCACACUGGAACUGAGACACGGUCCAGACUCCUACGGGAGGCAGCAGUGGGGAAUAUUGCACAAUGGGCGCAAGCCUGAUGCAGCCAUGCCGCGUGUAUGAAGAAGGCCUUCGGGUUGUAAAGUACUUUCAGCGGGGAGGAAGGGAGUAAAGUUAAUACCUUUGCUCAUUGACGUUACCCGCAGAAGAAGCACCGGCUAACUCCGUG